UACGUAGGGGGGCUAGCGUUGUCCGGAAUCAUUGGGCGUAAAGAGCGCGUAGGCGGCCAGAUAAGUCCGGUGUGAAAGUCAAAGGCUCAACCUUUGAAUGCCGCUGGAAACUGUCUGGCUAGAGUCCGGGAGGGGCGAGUGGAAUUCCUGGUGUAGCGGUGAAAUGCGCAGAUAUCAGGAGGAACACCAAUGGCGAAGGCAGCUCGCUGGAACGGUACUGACGCUGAGGCGCGAAAGCGUGGGGAGCGAACAGG
rnacentral:rRNA from 1 species